UCAGUGGUGAAAUCUCACAGCUUAACUGUGAAACUGCCAUUGAUACUGCAGGUCUUGAGUAAGGUAGAAGUGGCUGGAAUAAGUAGUGUAGCGGUGAAAUGCAUAGAUAUUACUUAGAACACCAAUUGCGAAGGCAGGUCACUAUGUCUUAACUGACGCUGAUGGACGAAAGCGUGGGGAGCGAACAGGAUUAGAUACCCUGGUAGUCCACGCCGUAAACGAUGCUAACUCGUUUUUGGGUUUUUAAGAUUCGGAGACUAAGCGAAAGUGAUAAGUUAGCCACCUGGGGA
rnacentral:rRNA from 1 species